rnacentral:rRNA from 1 species
GGAAUAUUGCACAAUGGGCGAAAGCCUGAUGCAGCAACGCCGCGUGAGGGAUGACGGCCUUCGGGUUGUAAACCUCUUUUAGUAGGGAAGAAGCGAAAGUGACGGUACCUGCAGAAAAAGCACCGGCUAACUACGUGCCAGCAGCCGCGGUAAUACGUAGGGUGCAAGCGUUGUCCGGAAUUAUUGGGCGUAAAGAGCUCGUAGGCGGUUUGUCGCGUCUGCUGUGAAAUCCCGAGGCUCAACCUCGGGCUUGCAGUGGGUACGGGCAGACUAGAGUGCGGUAGGGGAGAUUGGAAUUCCUGGUGUAGCGGUGGAAUGCGCAGAUAUCAGGAGGAACACCGAUGGCGAAGGCAGAUCUCUGGGCCGUAACUGACGCUGAGGAGCGAAAGCAUGGGGAGCGAACA